rfam:Felis catus breed Abyssinian Contig5973.1, whole genome shotgun sequence. [26-MAY-2016]
GCCUAGGUGGCUUAGUCAGUUAAGCACUGACUUCGGCUCAGGUAAUGAUCUUGCAGUUUGUGGGUUCGAGUCCCACAUCAGGCU